ACUAAAUAGAUACCCGGGUAGUCCACGCCGUAAACGAUGAUUACUCGCUGUUGACGAUACACUGUCAGCGGUUAAAGCAAAAAAAGCAAUAAGUAAUCCACCUGGGGAGUACGGCCGCAAGGUUGAAACUCAAAGGAAUUGACGGGGGCCCGCACAAGCGGAGGAACAUGUGGUUUAAUUCGAUGAUACGCGAGGAACCUUACCUGGGCUUAAAUGUAGAGUGCAUUUUCUAGAGAUAGGAAUUCCCUUCGGGGCUUUCUGCAAGGUGCUGCAUGGUUGUCGUCAGCUCGUGCCGUGAGGUGUCGGGUUAAGUCCCAUAACGAGCGCAACCCUUAUCGUUAGUUGCCAUCUGGCAAAGCAGGGGACUCUAGCGAAACUGCCACCGUAAGGUGAGAGGAAGGUGGGGAUGACGUCAAAUCAGCACGGCCCGUUAUGUCCAGGGCUACACACGUGUUACAAUGGUCGGUACAGAGGGCAGCUACCUGGUGACAGGAUGCUAAUCUCGAAAACCCGAGUCUCAGUUCGGAUCGAAGUCUGCAACUCGAC
rnacentral:rRNA from 1 species